GUGCCCAUGGGCACACCAUAGAAAAACCGUUUAUUAAUUUAUUAACUUGUGAAGGAAAUAGGCGGACCCGAGGAGCCGAUAAAGAACAAGAAGCAGCCGCCGGAAGCAGUCGCUGGUGGAGAUGGCUUGUCCGAUUCAAACACCAGGAAAAAGGCGGACACCGGAGAAGCCGAUAAAGAAUAAGAAGCAGCCGCCAGAAGCAGUCGCGCGUGGAGAUGGCUUGUCCGAUUCAAACACCAGAUGAUUGUAGCUUCCAAGUGCAAGAUGGGCUUUAAAUAUAAACUCACUCGCACGAAGAAGAGAAAGGUCCCACCAACAUUUAGACUCGGGUUACUGGAUUCAGAAUCGUGGUCUUCACUUCCAGACCAUGGGACCAUAUGUUUCCUUUCUUAGAAGGUUUGGGCUGCCACAGUUUGCUCACAUAGAUGUGAAAGGUUCAGGCAUUGGAUUGCAACUUGUAGGGCUGUUUUCCCCCCACAAAGCCCAUUCCAUGUUUUAUUUGCCGUCAAGUUCAAGAUGAAAUAGAAAUAUAAAAGUUUAUUAAAUUGUUGGUUGAAGGACUUGCCUGUGGAAAAACUAAAAGAAGUUGAAGUAGUUGAUGCUUUGAAGCAUCCUAAAUUGAAUACGGUAAAGAAGAUCACUGUGGACUCUGCUACUCUAUUCGACAAGAACUGCUUGCUGAGUUUGAUACUAUUAUGCAAGAAGAUGCUUGCCGCAUUUUACAAGGCGAGACACAUUAUCGUAUUUGAGACGCAAAAUUCAAAAUGAGAUGAUACAACUACUGGCCCAGGAGGUAAAAAGUAUACUCAUUGGUAGAGUUAAAGAUGCAAAAUAUUAUUCAGUUAUAUUAUAUUGUACUCCGGAUGCAAGUAGUGAUGAACAAAUGUCUCUUGUCUUGAGAUGUGUGAAUGUCUCAGAAAGUCCAAUUAGAACUAGAGAAUUCUUUACUGAGUUUUUACAGGACUACGACGCAUCAGGUAUUGGAUUGUUUAAUUAACUCGUAGAGGCGUUAAAUAUUCAUGGACUUGAUAGUGAUAAUAGCAGAGGGCAGGGGUAUGAUAACAGGUCUAAUAUGAAAGGAAAUAAUAAAAGUGUGCAAACUAGUUUACUCGAAAGAAAUCCGAGAGCCUUUUACACUCCUUGUGCUUGUCAUUCUUUAAAUCUAAUACUAUCUGAUAUCUGAUAUGGCUCAUUGUUGUUCCAAGGCUGUGUCUUUUUUUGAGGUGUUGUAGCAAAUAUACUCAUUAUUUUUUGUAUUUACAAAGAGAUGAUUUUUUUUUUA